GAUCCGCGGCGCGCAGGAUAAUCUAGUAGUACGUAAUCUGAUCGAAACGUCCCCAGAUUGAAACUUCCUUUCGAGCUCUUCUUCUCUAGACUGGCCCGGAAGCUUUGGAAGAUGCUACAAGAGGAUGCAUUUCUUCUCAGCCGCAGCAUCCGUAGAACACGCGAACAGGAUAGCCUUCAUCUCUCUCUCUCUCUCUGGCUCGUAUUCAGCAGGAGGCAGUGCGCCGGCGAUGAGGCCGGUAAGUACCAGGGAGAUCAUCGUGCAGGAUGCAACUGGUGAUCUGAAUGGCUCUCUGACGGCUCUGCAGGAUGCUGCAAUGCGUCCCAGAAAGGCGUGGCUGGGCAUCGCAGCCUGCGCACUGCGCAGGUUUAGCUUGAACCUGUGAACUGACAUGUUCCUGAAGGAUUAGCCUUAAAACAUCCAUGCCCCUGGCCCACUUUUUUGAGCAAGUGAUAGUACGUAGUGAUUAGUGGAUGAAAAUGAUGAAGCUCGAAAUGAAGUACCACGAGGAUCAUGGUGUUUCUAUCUUUUAGAGCAUGCAACUGCUGAUCUGAAUGGCUUCUGGUUAUGGCACACAAUGCCGCCAAGCAUCUUCAGAAAGAUCAGCUGUUUUCGGCUGUGGCCUCCGAACUGAAGAUAAUGUUUCACUUU